rnacentral:tmRNA from 1 species
GGGGCAGAUUUUGGAUUCGACAGGAUCACAGAGUUCUGCGGAGCAUGCCGAGGGGCGGUUGGCCUCGUAAAAAGCCGCAAAAAAAUAGUCGCAAACGACUCAAACUACGCACUAGCAGCUUAAUAACCUGCUCAGAGCCCUACUUCUCUAGCAUGCCUAUAAGCCUGAGAGUCCAGUAGGUCAAACCCCUAUAGGAUCGAGUGGAUGCCGUGCCCGACGGUUGAAGCUCUAAAACUAAUUCGGGAUAGUUCUUACGUGGCAUGUCAGCCGGCAGCGUAAAGGCGAAUGUAAAGGCAGACUAAGCAUGUAGCGCCGUUGGAUAAAAUGGUUUUGGACGGGGGUUCGAGUCCCCCCUGCUCCACCA